rnacentral:misc_RNA from 1 species
GCUGGCCUUUACGAAGGCAUGUGCACGCCCUGCUCAAUCCACUCUACACCUGUGAACUUACUGUGGGUUUCGAGAAGGGGGCCGUAAAAAAGCCUUCAGAUUGAAGCCCACGUUUAACCACAAACACUGUCAUUGUAUUUGAAUGUAUCGCGAUGUUAAUAAACGCAUCUAUAU